rnacentral:rRNA from 1 species
UACGUAGGGUGCAAGCGUUGCCCGGAUUUAUUGGGCGUAAAGGGCGCGUAGGCGGCUCGGCACGUCCGUUGUGAAAUCGCCCGGCUCAACUGGGCGGGGUCAGCGGAUACGGUCGAGCUUGAGCAAGCUAGGGGGCAAUGGAAUUCCCGGUGUAGUGGUGGAAUGCGUAGAUAUCGGGAGGAACACCAGUGGCGAAGGCGGCUUCCUGGCCUGUUCUUGACGCUGAGGCGCGAAAGCUAGGGGAGCAAACGGG